rnacentral:rRNA from 1 species
UAGGGAAUCUUCGGCAAUGGACGAAAGUCUGACCGAGCAACGCCGCGUGAGUGAAGAAGGUUUUCGGAUCGUAAAACUCUGUUGUUAGAGAAGAACAAGGACGUUAGUAACUGAACGUCCCCUGACGGUAUCUAACCAGAAAGCCACGGCUAACUACGUGCCAGCAGCCGCGGUAAUACGUAGGUGGCAAGCGUUGUCCGGAGUUAUUGGGCGUAAAGCGAGCGCAGGCGGUUUCUUAAGUCUGAUGUGAAAGCCCCCGGCUCAACCGGGGAGGGUCAUUGGAAACUGGGAGACUGGAGUGCAGAAGAGGAGAGUGGAAUUCCAUGUGUAGCGGUGAAAUGCGUAGAUAUAUGGAGGAACACCAGUGGCGAAGGCGGCUCUCUGGUCUGUAACUGACGCUGAGGCUCGAAAGCGUGGGGAGCAAACAGG